AUUCCAGCUCCAAUCGCGUAUAUUCAAAUUGUUGCGGUUACAAAGCUGAGCACGACCGGUCCGCCCUCUGGGUGAGAAUCUGGCUUGGACUUCGCAUCUUCUUGGAGAACGUAGCUGCACUUGAUUGUGUGGUGCGGUAUCCAGGUUUGUGAUCCGGAGGAAAUUAGUGUGUUUCAAGCAGGCACACGCCUUGAAUACAUUGGCAUGGAAUAAUAAGAUAGGACCUUGGUUUUAUUUUGUUGGUUUCUAGAGCUGAGGUAAUGAUUCAUAGGGAUCGCUGGGGGCAUUCGUAUUUAAUUGUGAGAGAUGAAAUUCUUGGAUUUGUUAAAGAGGGACUACUGUGAUUCAUUUACCAAGGAUGCUUUCAUUA
rnacentral:rRNA from 1 species